GACCUCGCCCCGGGCAGGCUCUGGAGCAGCCUUAAAGCGUCCGGACGGAGGAGGACCUCUCAGUGCUUCUGGUUGCUGUUUUGACAGCUACGCCACCUCGGUUUCCUCCCGUCGGGGGAAUCCUGACAGAAAGAAAGCGUACCGGUUAUUUUUGUCAGUUACUAUGGCCGGGGGAGGGGGGGUUGCUUGUUUUUUGAGACAGGGUCUCGCUCUGUGGUUCAGGCUGCCUUUGCCCUUGGCCUACGUAAUCUAGGCUGGCCUCGAACUUGCAGCGAACCUUCCGGCUCAACCUCUGAGUGCUGAGAUUACAGGCGAGCGCCCCCACACCUGGCAAGAGAUAGGUUCCUGGGGCCGGGGAUUUAGCUCAGUGGUUCUGCCGCCUGCCUUGCAAGCAUAAGGGCCCGAGUUCGAUCCCUGGUACCAAAAAAAAAAAAAAGAGGUUCUUUUGGAGAGAAAAAAUGCGCCUUUCCCUCGGUAAAAACUAACGUUUUAUUUCGCCCCAUUGAGGUUGGUUUUCCAUCGUCAGCCCUCCACAUUCAGUGUGCUUGUAAUUCAGUGGGGAAGUUAGGAAACCUUCAACACUCCCAAGCCGAAAGUGUGUGUCAGGGGGCCUUAAAAAUUUGACUCCAGAACCAGUCAAUAGAAAUCAAGCACCAUUUAAUUUAAAAAAAGAAAAAGAAAAAAAUCUCAGAAAAAAAAGAAAAUCAAUCUUUUUAAGUCAUUCUCACAUCCACAUCCCCGCUGUGGUUCUUUCUUGGGUGUGUAGUGCUGCUCUCUCAACUUCAAAGCAUUCAGUGAAACUUGGAGUUGUGAUUUUAUCAGGACUAAUGUGGAACAUGAAAAUAAUGGGCAUUACUUCUUCAGUUGCUUGGUUGAGUGUGGUGCAAGAGAGGAUUGUUUUUGCUCAUAGGUCAAAUUAAGGAUUGUUAGAAAACGUGGACGUUUACUCCACACUGGAAAAUGCUGCUAGCUUCUUUCUAUAUAAAAAGCAUUGCACAGCAUCUGAACAGUCCACCAACCUUACCAUAGUCUCCCUAAGAUGUCCAGGCUGAACUCAAACUUGCAAUCCUCUGCCUCAGCCUCCAAGAGUGCUGGAAUUACAGGAGUGGAACUCAGAACCUUGUGCUUGAGAGGCAGGC
rnacentral:lncRNA from 1 species